CUAAGGUAAAGUCUCAUCUCCUCUCUCUCGUCAGUGCAGUAGGACUAAGGUAAAGUCCCAUCUCCUCUCUCUCGUCAGUGCAGUAGGACUAAGGUAAAGUCUCAUCUCCUCUCUCUCGUCAGUGCAGUAGGACUAAGGUAAAGUCUCCGGGACAUAAUGUAUCAUCUCCUCUCUCUCGACAGUGCAGUAGGACUAAGGUAAAGUCUCAUCUCCUCUCUCUCGUCAGUGCAGUAGGACUAAGGUAAAGUCUCAUCUCCUCUCUCUCGUCAGUGCAGUAGGACUAAGGUAAAGUCCCAUCUCCUCUCUCUCGUCAGUGCAGUAGGACUAAGGUAAAGUCUCUGGGACAUAAUGUAUCAUCUCCUCUCUCUCGUCAGUGCAGUAGGACUAAGGUAAAGUCUCUGGGACAUAAUGUAUCAUCUCCUCUCUCUCGUCAGUGCAGUAGGACUAAGGUAAAGUCUCUGGGUCAUAAUGUAUCCUCUCCUCUCUCUCGUCAGUGCAGUAGGACUAAGGUAAAGUCUCUGGGACAUAAUGUAUCAUCUCCUCUCUCUCGUCAGUGCAGUAGGACGGACUAAGGUAAAGUCUCUGGGACAUAAUGUAUCAUCUCUCUCUCGUCAGUGCAGUAGGACUAAGGUAAAGUCUCAUCUCCUCUCUCUCGUCAGUGCAGUAGGACUAAGGUAAAGUCUCUGGGACAUAAUGUAUCAUCUCCUCUCUCUCGUCAGUGCAGUAGGACGGACUAAGGUAAAGUCUCUGGGACAUAAUGUAUCAUCUCUCUCUCGUCAGUGCAGUAGGACUAAGGUAAAGUCUCAUCUCCUCUCUCUCGUCAGUGCAGUAGGACUAAGGUAAAGUCUCUGGGACAUAAUGUAUAAUCUCCUCUCUCUCGUCAGUGCAGUAGGACUAAGGUAAAGUCUCAUCUCCUCUCUCUCGUCAGUGCAGUAGGACUAAGGUAAAGUCUCUGGGACAUAAUGUAUCAUCUCCUCUCUCUCCAUCAACAGAUAUGGUAAAGUUAUAUUAGUUCAAACAGCACUAUCGAUGUUAUCAGUUGGUCCUGGUUGAUUAUCUACAUGAUGCAUAAGUCCUGUAGUUUGUUAGUGCCACUAUGAGAGGAAUAACAUGGUUCAAUGACCCAACAAACGAUCCUCCGUCCACCUCAACCUCCUCGCUUUGCUCAUGCGGCCUAAAUAUGUGGAAAACACAUUGUCCAUAACAAUAUUCAGAUCCGUACUAUUCAGUAGUUAGGCAAUAUGAGUGUACUAUACAGUAUAUGUGACCUAAAACUGUUC